rnacentral:rRNA from 1 species
AGAGUUUGAUCCUGGCUCAGAAUGAACGCUGGCGGCGUGCCUAACACAUGCAAGUCGGAUGUGCCGCAAGGUGCAUGGCAGACGGGUGAGUAACGCGUAGGGAAUCUACCUUUUUGUGGGGAAUAACGCUCCGAAAGGAGCGGUAAUACCGCAUGAGACCGCAGACUGGGAUGUUUGUGGUGAAACCUGGGGACCGCAAGGCCUGGGGCAAGAAGAGGAUCCUGCGUCUGAUUAGCUAGUUGGCGGGGUAAUGGCCCACCAAGGCGACGAUCAGUAGCCGGCCUGAGAGGGUGAUCGGCCACACUGGAACUGAGACACGGUCCAGACUCCUACGGGAGGCAGCAGUGGGGAAUUUUGCGCAAUGGACGAGAGUCUGACGCAGCAACGCCGCGUGGGUGAUGAAGGUCUUC